rnacentral:siRNA from 1 species
UAGUCGUCUAUACAUUCUGGCG